CAAGUACUCCCUCCAUCCGGAAUUACUUGUCAUCAAAAUGGAUGUGUCUAGAACUAAAAUACAUCUAGAUACAUACAUUUCAAUGACAAGUAUUUUCGGACGGAGGGAGUACAAG
rnacentral:pre_miRNA from 1 species